rnacentral:rRNA from 1 species
AUGGGCAAAGGAAGUUCAAAAUUUAUCUCAAUCAAACAUGUGCAAAGGAAAAUUCAAAAUAUGUUAUGUCAGGAAAAGAUUCUUAAACCGGUGAAGUAUCUAGAGGGCUUAUUAGGACACUGCUCAUAUUGUUUGAUACUUUACCAUCUGGGGAUUAGGCUAUCGGUGAACACGACAAUGCGGCUGUUGGUCACGGAUGCCGGGGGCGUGAGCGGGUUGAGGAGCUCACAUGGUGCUAUACAUGAUGACCUGCGAGUGGUGGCAGGAGGUGGCAUGCCUGCUGCUUUGCCGGAAGUCCGACAUGAACUCCCACGACCGACUAUAAGCAUUGUUGUGAAGACCUUCCAGCAUUACCCCAGGAAGCUAACACAUCAGCUUGUGCCAUACGUGGUGUUUUCUUUUUGA